rnacentral:tRNA from 1 species
ACCUGGUUGGCUCAGUUGGUUAAGUGUCUGACUUCAGCUCAGGUCAUGAUCUCAUGGUUCGUGGGUUCAAGCCCCACAUCAGGCU